rnacentral:rRNA from 1 species
UGAGGCGCGCCGAGUUUGAUCCUGGCUCAGAUUGAACGCUGGCGGCAGGCCUAACACAUGCAAGUCGAGCGGCAGCGGGAAGAUAGCUUGCUAUCUUUGCCGGCGAGCGGCGGACGGGUGAGUAAUGCCUAGGGAUCUGCCCAGUCGAGGGGGAUAACAGUUGGAAACGACUGCUAAUACCGCAUACGCCCUACGGGGGAAAGGAGGGGACCUUCGGGCCUUCCGCGAUUGGAUGAACCUAGGUGGGAUUAGCUAGUUGGUGAGGUAAUGGCUCACCAAGGCGACGAUCCCUAGCUGUUCUGAGAGGAUGAUCAGCCACACUGGGACUGAGACACGGCC